rnacentral:lncRNA from 1 species
CCAUUCAUAAAACUUUACAUACAAUAAGUUUGUUCCAGUCUCUACGGUAAUACAUACAGUACAUGUACAUGUUCAGUGUACUUCAAAGGAUUGUUCUGGUGAAACUCAAUUUAUAUUUUUCUUCCAUUAAUAAACAAGCACUGAAACAAUCAAUGGAGUCAUGCUAAUGAGAUGGAGAGAAAGAAUCCCAACUGAAGUAGAUGAUUGAGUGAAAGCUCUGAGAAAUGAACUCCCCUGGCUGUAUUAACACAGUAGAUACCUGGGGAAUUAGGUAUUCCUGUGCACUGGCUCUACCAUACUCUACUACCUAAGUCCUACUGAGUCCCUGCAAAAUUGGAUCUUGAAGGUUCAGGUGGGCAUGAACCGCUUUUGGAAUGAGAUUGUUAGCUGAUACAAAUAUGGGACUUUGGACUAAUGUUAAUACUGUAGAUUGUGCUGGAUUCUGUUGUUCUU